rnacentral:rRNA from 1 species
UACGUAGGGAGCAAGCGUUGUCCGGAAUCAUUGGGCGUAAAGCGCGCGUAGGUGGCUUCGUAAGUCCGUUGUGAAAGUCAAAGGCUCAACCUUUGAAAGCCGAUGGAUACUGUGGAGCUAGAGUACGGAAGAGGCGAGUGGAAUUCCUGGUGUAGCGGUGGAAUGCGUAGAGAUCAGGAAGAACACCAGUGGCGAAGGCGCUCUGCUAGGCCGUAACUGACACUGAGGGACGAAAGCUAGUGGAGCGAAUGGG